rnacentral:rRNA from 1 species
UGUGCCAGCCGCCGCGGUAAGACGUGGGGGGCGAGCGUUGUCCGGAAUUAUUGGGCGUAAAGGGCGUGUAGGCGGCCUGUCAAGUCAGCUGUGAAAUCCCCCGGCUCAACUGGGGGUUUGCAGUUGAAACUGGUGGGCUUGAGUGCAGGAGAGGAGGGUGGAAUUCCUGGUGUAGCGGUGAAAUGCGUAGAUAUCAGGAGGAACACCGGUGGCGAAGGCGACUUUCUGGCUGACAACUGACGCUGAGGCGCGAAAGCGUGGGUAGCAAACAGGAUUAGAUACCCUGGUAGUCCUAGCCGUAAACGAUGGGUACUAGGUGUAGGUGGUUUCGAUACCAUCUGUGCCGUAGUUAACGCAUUAAGUACCCCGCCUGGGGAGUACGUGCGCAAGCAUGAAACUCAAAGGAAUUGACGGGGGCCCGCACAAGCGGUGGAGCAUGUGGUUUAAUUCGAAGCAACGCGAAGAACCUUACCAGGUCUUGACAUCACCUAGCAAGCCAUGGAAACAUGGCCCUCCUUCGGGACUGGGUGACAGGUGGUGCAUGGUUGUCGUCAGCUCGUGUCGUGAGAUGUUGGGUUAAGUCCCGCAACGAGCGCAACCCUUGCCUUUAGUUGCCAGCAUUAAGUUGGGGACUCUAAAGGGACUGCCGGCGACAAGUCGGAGGAAGGUGGGGAUGACGUCAAAUCAUCAUGCCCCUUAUGAUCUGGGCUACACACGUGCUACAAUGGGUGGUACAGAGGGAAGCGAAGCUGUGAGGCGGAGCGAAUCCCAGAAAGCCACUCUCAGUUCGGAUUGCAGGCUGCAACUCGCCUGCAUGAAGUCGGAAUCGCUAGUAAUCGCGGGUCAGCAUACCGCGGUGAAUACGUUCCCGGGCCUUGUACACACCGCCCGUCACACCACGAAAGUUCGCAACACCCGAAGCCGGUGGCCUAACCCGUAAGGGAGGGAGCCGUCGAAGGUGGGGCGGAUGAUUGGGGUGAAGUCGUAACAAGGUAGCCA